AUUGAACGCUGGCGGAAUGCUUUACACAUGCAAGUCGAGCGGCAGCGCGGGGCAACCUGGCGGCGAGCGGCGAACGGGUGAGUAACAUAUCGGAACGUACCCUGUCGUGGGGGAUAACACAGCGAAAGUUGUGCUAAUACCGCAUACGACCUGAGGGUGAAAGCGGGGGACCGUAAGGCCUCGCGCGAUAGGAGCGGCCGAUAUCGGAUUAGCUAGUUGGUGAGGUAAAGGCUCACCAAGGCGACGAUCCGUAGCUGGUCUGAGAGGACGACCAGCCACACUGGAACUGAGACACGGUCCAGACUCCUACGGGAGGCAGCAGUGGGGAAUUUUGGACAAUGGGGGCAACCCUGAUCCAGCCAUUCCGCGUGAGUGAAGAAGGCCUCGGUUGGUAAAGACUCUUUCGGUCAGGAACGAAACGGUAGACGUCCUAAUACGAGUUACUAAUAGACGGUACCUGAAGAAGAAGACACCGGCUAACUACGUAGCCAGCAGCCGCGGUAAU
rnacentral:rRNA from 1 species